UACGUAGGGUGCGAGCGUUAAUCGGAAUUACUGGGCGUAAAGCGUGCGCAGGCGGUUCGUUGUGUCGGCGGUGAAAGCCCCGGGCUCAACCUGGGAAUGGCCGUUGAAACUGGCGAACUGGAGUGUGGCAGAGGGGGGUGGAAUUCCGCGUGUAGCAGUGAAAUGCGUAGAUAUGCGGAGGAACACCGAUGGCGAAGGCAAUCCCCUGGACCUGUACUGACGCUCAUGCACGAAAGCGUGGGGAGCAAACAGG
rnacentral:rRNA from 1 species